rnacentral:rRNA from 1 species
CUUGCUCCCCGAAAGAAAAGGAGUGGCGAACGGGUGAGUAACACGUGGGUAACCUGCCCAUCAGAAGGGGAUAACACUUGGAAACAGGUGCUAAUACCGUAUAACAAUCGAAACCGCAUGGUUUCGGUUUGAAAGGCGCUUUUGCGUCACUGAUGGAUGGACCCGCGGUGCAUUAGCUAGUUGGUGAGGUAACGGCUCACCAAGGCAACGAUGCAUAGCCGACCUGAGAGGGUGAUCGGCCACAUUGGGACUGAGACACGGCCCAAACUCCUACGGGAGGCAGCAGUAGGGAAUCUUCGGCAAUGGACGCAAGUCUGACCGAGCAACGCCGCGUGAGUGAAGAAGGUUUUCGGAUCGUAAAACUCUGUUGUUAGAGAAGAACAAGGAUGAGAGUAGAAUGUUCAUCCCUUGACGGUAUCUAACCAGAAAGCCACGGCUAACUACGUGCCAGCAGCCGCGGUAAUACGUAGGUGGCAAGCGUUGUCCGGAUUUAUUGGGCGUAAAGCGAGCGCAGGCGGUUUCUUAAGUCUGAUGUGAAAGCCCCCGGCUCAACCGGGGAGGGUCAUUGGAAACUGGGAAACUUGAGUG